rnacentral:rRNA from 1 species
GGGGAAUAUUGCGCAAUGGGCGAAAGCCUGACGCAGCGACGCCGCGUGAGGGAUGAAGGUUCUCGGAUCGUAAACCUCUGUCAGAAGGGAAGAAAAAAAUGACGGUAGCCAAGGAGGAAGCCCCGGCUAACUACGUGCCAGCAGCCGCGGUAAUACGUAGGGGGCGAGCGUUGUCCGGAUUUACUGGGCGUAAAGGGUGAGUAGGCGGUUGUAUAAGUCAGAUGUAAAAGGCGUAGGCUCAACUUACGUAAGCAUUUGAAACUGUACAACUUGAGUGCAGGAGAGGUAAGUGGAAUUCCUAGUGUAGCGGUGAAAUGCGUAGAUAUUAGGAGGAACACCAGUGGCGAAGGCGACUUACUGGACUGUAACUGACGCUGAGUCACGAAAGCGUGGGUAGCAAACA